ensembl:lncRNA
UAGCUAUUCUUAUAUUAGACAAAACAAAUCUUAAAGCAACAACAGUUAAAGGAGACAAAGAGGGGCAGUAUGUAAUGGUAAAAGGCCUUGUGCAACAAGAAAAUCUCACAAUCCUAAACAUAUAUGAACCUAACUCUGGAGCUCCCUAAUUUAUAAAACAAUUACUAAUAGACCUAAGAAAUCAGAUAGAACAGCAACACAAUAAUAGUGGGAGACUUCAAUACUCCACUGACAGUACUAGACAGGUCAUCAGGACAGAAAGUCAACAAAGUAACAAUGGAUUUAAACUAUACCUUGAAACAAAUGAACUUAACAGAUAUAUACAGAAUAUUUCAUAUGACAGCCACAGAAUAUACAUUCUAUUCUAUUCAACAGCACAUGGAACUUUUUCCAGGAUAAAAAUAUGAAAGGUCAUAAAACAAGCCUCAAUAAAUGUAAUAAAAUUGAAAUUAUAUCAAGUACUCUCUCAGACAACAGUGGAAUAAAACUGGAAAUCAACUCCAAAAAGAGCCUUCAAAACCAUGGAAAUAAAUGGAAAUUAAAAAUACUAAAGGGAAAAAUAAAGUGAAUUCCUGGAAAAAAUAACCUCAUCUAUUAUUAAUGCCCAGUGGGAAAAUCAUUUAAGUAAUUUACUGCUGCCUGUACGGAUGCAGACAUUAACUCAUGCAAUGAUGAUGAAUAGCACUGUUCAGAGAAAUUUACCUCUACAUAUGCAAAGAAUGGAAAUUUACUAAGGCUUCUAGUACAUUUUUGCUCUUCAUAUUCUUUCUCAAUUAAAAUGAACUGAACAAAGAUUCUAUCACACAAACCUAUAAUUACACUCAUUCUUAAGGGAACUGCGAUUGCCCUUUCUAACUGGCCAAAGUGCUUAUAUAAUUAGGACAAAGUUACUACCUAUCAUAAAAAUGUGUUUUAACUGAGAUAAUAUGAAAUGAGACCUCCAACCAAGAGAAAGUUCAAAGGCUGAAGAUGACCACUUCUAUUCUAAGUUAAAUAUCGAAAUCAUAGAGGGUAAAAAUUUGGAAUGAAACACCCAACAAUUCCAUUUAAGGUGAAGAAGACAAGAUUAUAAAUUCCUUGAUAUAUUCCAACUUUCCUGGGUUUACAACCUUAACCAAAUACCAAUCACAGGAGCUAUUAUCCCCACCACACGGGACUGUGAAGCUUGGUGAUGACCAUCACGGUAUCAGGGUCUCUGCUUCUGAAAAGAGGAAAAUCUGUCAAGAUCUCUUAGGUUCAGGAUAGUUAAUGUAAAAACGAUAUAAGAUGUAAAUAUAUUGUAGUAAUAUGGCUUAAAAAUAGGAUGUUGGCUCUAAUACUCAGAUGGGAGGCCAAGAUAUUUAGGAUUCCGGAAUAGGCAGGACACAGUGGCCUGUCAUCCUAGCACUUUGGGAGGCCAAGGUAGGUGAAUGACUUGAGCCCAGGAGUUUGAGACCAGCCUGAGCAACACAGAGAGACCCCAUGUCUACACAAAAUACCAAAACUUGUGGGGCAUAGUAGUGCGUUCCUAUAGUCCCAGCUACUUGGUAGUCUUAGGUGAAAGUACUGCCUGAGCUCAGGGAGGUCAAGGCUACGAUGAGCUGUGAUCACGCCACUGCACCCUAGUCUAGGCCCCAGUGCGACCUUGUUUCAAAAAAAUAAAGAUGCAUAGAUGUAGGAUGCUCAUAUGAAAAAUGGUGUGAGCUCCACGAGGGCAGGAACUUGGUCAGUUGUAUUCACUGUUGUGUAUUUAGUAUCCAAAGCUGUGCCUGGCAUAUGGUAGGUGCAUGGCCAUUAGCUAUUGAGGGAGAAUGAACACUGAAUGCUGACUAACUGGCUAGCCCAGCCAUCCCUGUAUCUUGUCUCUCUGCUGUCUUUUUCUUUGCACAGUGCUUCCCUCCAACUUUCGUUUCACACAGAGCUGUGUGGUACCUCACCUUUCCCAUGUCUCUCCUUCCUAUUUACUUUUGUCUAGCCAAUUUAUGAGGUGGCUCAGCAAAUGUUUUGACUCCAACUGGGAAAACAAGCUCUUAGUGCCAUCAUUGUCACCUGGCCCAGACUCCCAAAACAAGCCUGGUGUUGAAGGAAAUGUCAACUGAAAAGGUUUGGUCUGCCCCUCUGGUAGAUUACACAGGGCUUAAAAAACACUUAACACAUCUGGAUAUUGAAUCUCAGUUUCUUCAUUGCCUUUCCAGAGAAACCCCUCCUGAGCGCCCCCUCAGAGCCACUUCCACCU